UCAAGCUGCUAAGGGCUGUUGGUGGAUGCCUUGGCAUCGAAAGGCGAAGAAGGACGUGUAACCUGCGAAAAGCUUCGGGGAGUCGGAAAAGGCGUAGAACCGAAGGUAUCCGAAUGGGGCAACCCGAUAGAGAAGCCCUCUAUCAUCUUUAAAUGAAUACAUAGUUUAAAGAGGCGAGACCUGCUGAAGUGACACAUCUCAGUAAGCAGAGGAAAAGAAAUCUAGAAGAGAUUCCCAUAGUAGCGGCGAGCGAAGUGGGAAGAGCCCAAACCAGGGAUUUAUUCCUGGGGUUGUAGGGCCUAUUAUAAAGCGAAGUUGAACCUAGCAAAAUGGCAUGGAAAGGCCAACGGAACAGGGUGAGAGUCCCGUAUGCGAAAGGAGAGAUAAGCGAGAUAGGUACCUGAGUAGGACCGGGCACGGGAAAUCCGGUCUGAAACUGGGGGGACCACCCUCCAAGGCUAAAUACUAAAACGAUGACCGAUAGUGAACAAGUACCGCGAGGGAAAGGUGAAAAGAACCCCUGUUAGGGGAGUGAAAUAGAAACUGAAACCAGCAGCUUACAAACGGUCGAAGGCCUAUGCACCGCAAGGUGAAUGGCUGACGGCGUGCCUUUUGCAUGAUGAGCCAGCGAGUUAAGCUACAUGGCAAGGUUAAAGAACAAACGUUCUGGAGCCGAAGCGAAAGCGAGUGUGAAUAGCGCGAUAUAGUCGUGUGGCUUAGACACGAAACCAAGUGAUCUAUCCAUGACCAGGAUGAAGUUCGGGUAAAACCGAUUGGAGGUCCGAACCAGUGUCUGUUGAAAAAGACUUGGAUGAGUUGUGGAUAGGGGUGAAAGGCCAAUCAAACUUGGAGAUAUCUUGUUCUCUUCGAAAUAACUUUAGGGUUAACCUCGGCAGUACCGACUCGGGGGUAGAGCACUGAAUCCACAAGGGAGGCUACCGCCUUACCGAAGGGAAUCAAACUCCGAAUACCGAGAAGGAAGCCGGGAGAUAGACUGUGUGGGAUAAGCUACAUAGUCAAAAGGGGAACAGCCCAGAUCGCCGAUUAAGGCCCCAAAUUCUAUGCUAAGUGAGUAAGGAAGUGAAGUUUCAAAGACAGUUGGGAUGUUGGCUUAGAGGCAGCCAUCAUUUAAAGAGUGCGUAACAGCUCACCAAUCGAGAAACUUUGCGCCGAUAAUAGACGGGACUAAAGCAUAGAGCCGAAAUCGCGGGUGUAUCGCAAGAUAUGCGGUAGGAGAGCGUAGUAUGUGCAGUGAAGAUAUACCGUGAGGAGUGUUGGAGCGCAUACUAGUGAAGAUGCAUGGCAUGAGUAAACGAUAAAAGAGGUGAAAAUCCUCUUCGCCGAAAACCUAAGGUUUCCAGGGUAAAGUUCGUCUUCCCUGGGUUAGCCGGUCCCUAAGCUAAGGCUGAAAAGCGUAGGCGAUGGGAAGCAGGUUAAAUAUUCCUGCGCCGCUAAAGAGCAAUGGUGAUGAGAUGACGGAGUAAGUUAAGCGUGCGGACUAUUGGAUGUCCGUGGAGCUGUGAGGAGGGUCUGAAGGAAAAUCCGCAGACAAAAAUCUAGGCAGCGACUAAAGGGAACCGAAAGGGGAACUGAUAACGUAGCGCGAUGCUUCCAAGAAAUAGUUUCUAGCCGUAAUUUAGCGACCGUACCAAAACCGACACAGGUGGGUGGGAUGAAUAUUCUCAGGCGCGCGAGACAACUCUCGUUAAGGAACUCUGCAAAUUACCCUCGUAACUUCGGGAGAAGAGGGGCCAGGAUUCGUAAUAUUCUUCGCGAAUAGAAGCGAGGCUUGGUCGAAGAGAAAUGGCCCAGGCGACUGUUUAACAAAAACACAGCACUAUGCAAAGUCGUCUAAGACGACGUAUAUGGUGUGAAGCCUGCCCAAUGCCAAAAGGUCAAAAGGAGAUGUCAGCUAAGCAAUUGGCAAAGCAUUGAAUUAAAGCCCUGGUGAAUGGCGGCCGUAACUAUAACGGUCCUAAGGUAGCGAAAUUCCUUGUCGGGUAAGUUCCGACCUGCACGAAUGGCCUAACGAUCUGGGCACUGUCUCAACGAGAGACUCGGUGAAAUUGUAGUAGCGGUGAAGAUGCCGUUUACCCGCAACAAGACGGAAAGACCCCGUGAACCUUUACUAUACUCUGAUAUUGGCUUUUGACUUUUCAUGUGUAGGAUAACCGGAAGACGUAGAAGUUGGCUCGUUAGGGCUAAUGGAGUCGACCUUGAAAUACCGGUCUUGAAGAGUUGAAAAUCUAACGAUAUGCCGUGAAACCGGCAGUCGGACAUUGUCAGACGGGUAGUUUGACUGGGGCGGUAUCCUCCUAAAGAGUAACGGAGGAGUUCAAAGCUUCCCUCAUCGUGGUUGGCAAUCACGAAUAGAGCGUAAAGGUAUAAGGGAGGUUAACUGCGAGACCAACAAGUCGAGCAGAUACGAAAGUAGGACUUAGUGAUCCGGCGGUAGAAAGUGGAAUCGCCGUCGCUUAACGGAUAAAAGGUACUCCGGGGAUAACAGGCUUAUCGCCACCAAGAGUUCAUAUCGACGUGGCGGUUUGGCACCUCGAUGUCGACUCAUCGCAUCCUGGGGCUGGAGAAGGUCCCAAGGGUUUGGCUGUUCGCCAAUUAAAGCGGUACGCGAGUUGGGUUCAAAACGUCGUGAGACAGUUUGGUCCCUAUCUGUUGUGGGCGUAGGAUAUUUGAGAAGAGCUGCUUCUAGUACGAGAGGACCGAAGUGGACGAACCAAUGGUGUGCCGGUUGUACUGCCAAGUGCAUAGCCGGGUAGCUAUGUUCGGAAAGGAUAAGCGUUGAAAGCAUCUAAACGCCAAGCCUCCUUCAAGAUAAGAUAUCCCUAUGAGACCCCCUGAAGAUGACAGGGUUGAUAGGUUGGAUGUGUAAGCAUAGCAAUGUGUUGAGCUAACCAAUACUAAUAGGUCCAUUGGCUUGAU
rnacentral:rRNA from 1 species